rnacentral:rRNA from 1 species
UAAUACCGCAUAACGUCCUGGAAGCGCAUGCUUUCGGGACCAAAGGAUUUAUUCGCUUAAGGAUGGCCUCGCGGCCGAUUAGGUAGUUGGUGAGGUAACGGCCCACCAAGCCUACGAUCGGUAGCCGGACUGAGAGGUUGAACGGCCACAUUGGGACUGAGAUACGGCCCAGACUCCUACGGGAGGCAGCAGUGGGGAAUAUUGCGCAAUGGGGGAAACCCUGACGCAGCAACGCCGCGUGAAGGAAGAAGGUCUUCGGAUUGUAAACUUCUUUGAUCAGGGACGAAACAAAUGACGGUACCUGAGGAACAAGCCACGGCUAACUACGUGCCAGCAGCCGCGGUAAUACGUAGGUGGCGAGCGUUAUCCGGAUUUACUGGGUGUAAAGGGCGUGUAGGCGGUUUUGCAAGUCAGAUGUGAAAUUUCCGGGCUUAACCCGGACGGGUCAUCUGAAACUGCAGAACUUGAGUACUGGAGAGGAUAGCGGAAUUCCUAGUGUAGCGGUAAAAUGCGUAGAUAUUAGGAGGAACACCGGUGGCGAAGGCGGCUAUCUGGACAGUAACUGACGCUGAGGCGCGAAAGCGUGGGGAGCAAACAGGAUUAGAUACCCUGGUAGUCCACGCCGUAAACGAUG